rnacentral:rRNA from 1 species
GACGAACGCUGGCGGCGUGCUUAACACAUGCAAGUCGAACGGAAAGGCCCUGCUUUUGUGGGGUGCUCGAGUGGCGAAAGGGUGAGUAACACGUGAGUAACCUGCCCUUGACUUUGGGAUAACUUCAGGAAACUGGGGCUAAUACCGGAUAGGAGCUCCUGCUGCAUGGUGGGGGUUGGAAAGUUUCGGCGGUUGGGGAUGGAUGCGCGGCUUAUCAGCUUGUUGGUGGGGUAGUGGCUUACCAAGGCUUUGACGGAUCGCCGGCCUGGGAGGGUGACCGGCGACAAUGGGACUGAGAUACGGCCCAGACUCCUACGGGAGGCAGCAGGGGGGAAUAUUGCACAAUGGGCGGAAGCCUGAUGCAGCAACGCCGCGUGCGGGAUGACGGCCUUCGGGUUGUAAACCGCUUUCGCCUGUGACGAAGCGUGAGUGACGGUAAUGGGUAAAGAAGCACCGGCUAACUACGUG